GAUUAGAUACCCYGGUAGUCCACGCCGUAAACGAUGUCUACUUGGAGGUUGUGGCCUUGAGCCGUGGCUUUCGGAGCUAACGCGUUAAGUAGACCGCCUGGGGAGUACGGUCGCAAGAUUAAAACUCAAAUGAAUUGACGGGGGCCCGCACAAGCGGUGGAGCAUGUGGUUUAAUUCGAUGCAACGCGAAGAACCUUACCUACUCUUGACAUCCAGAGAAUCCAGCGGAGACGCAGGAGUGCCUUCGGGAGCUCUGAGACAGGUGCUGCAUGGCUGUCGUCAGCUCGUGUUGUGAAAUGUUGGGUUAAGUCCCGCAACGAGCGCAACCCUUAUCCUUGUUUGCCAGCGAGUCAUGUCGGGAACUCCAGGGAGACUGCCGGUGAUAAACCGGAGGAAGGUGGGGACGACGUCAAGUCAUCAUGGCCCUUACGAGUAGGGCUACACACGUGCUACAAUGGCGCAUACAGAGGGCAGCRAGCUAGCGAUAGUGAGCGAAUCCCAAAAAGUGCGUCGUAGUCCGGAUUGGAGUCUGCAACUCGACUCCAUGAAGUCGGAAUCGCUAGUAAUCGUGAAUCAGAAUGUCACGGUGAAUACGUUCCCGGGCCUUGUACACACCG
rnacentral:rRNA from 1 species